rnacentral:ncRNA from 6 species
ACCUCGGAUCAGGUAGGAAUACCC